GAGCUUCCAGUGGGCUGGAAACCUGGCUGCCGAGAGAACACAGACCCCAGGAGCCUCGGGGGUGGGGGGGGCUUUGAUCAGUCACCGGCUGUCAAGUAACCUGGAUGUCCGUGGUUUAUGUAAAUGUGAACAGUCUGUGUUCGUCCUGUUGCUCAGCCGGGAAGAUAGGGAGACACCAUGGAAGCUGCUAUGAAACUCUCACGACUCUGAAGACACGGAGGAGGCGUGCACAGAAUCGAGAGAGCAUGUCCAAGAUCCACAGGUCCAGCACGAUAUGCAGGGCAAUCAGCGUAAAGCGGCAGACCAAAGCAGCACCCAAAGGUGGAUGCUUGUGCCUGAGACUCAAACUGGACCCCAGUUGGAGCAACAAGAAAAACUGUGCUUCAGAAAUAGCACACAG